CUCCCAUUCUGUAGGUUGCUCUUUACUCUUUCCAUUGUAUUCAUUGCCGUGCAGAAGCUGUUUCGUUUGGUGUAGUCCCACUCGUCCAUUUUUUGCUUUUGUUGCUUGUGCUUUGCGGGUCCUAUCUAUGAAAUCAUUGCCAAUACCAAGGUCUUGAAGGGUUUCCCCUGUAUUCUCGUCUAGUAGGUUUACAGUUUCAGGUCUUAAAUGUUUACGUUUUUCCACCCAUUUGAAUUGAUUAUUGCGUAUGGUGUGAGAUGAGGCCGACAGGUGUAUGGGUAGAUGCUCAGCAUCAGGGAAUUGCAGAUCAAAGCCACAGUGUGGUGUCAUCUCACAUCUGUUGAAAUGGAUUUUAUUGAAAAAACCAAAAGACAGCACGUGUUGGUGAGGUUGUGGAGAGACUGGAACCCUUGCACGCUGGUGCAGUUGCUAUGGAAAAUAAUAUGGAGAUUCCUCAAAAAACUGCAAGUAUCAAAUGAUCCUGCAAUCCCACUUGUGGGUAUUUAUCCCGUAAAACAUUAAUAAACAGAGACCAGAAGAGGGCGCUGUCAUACCCUUGAGGAUGGCUGAGCCAAACAGGAAGAAGAAAGACUCUCUUUUCUGGCAAGGACUCAGCCAAUGAAAAGUCAGGGACUCUGUUUACUACAGCUCUCCUUAAUUCGCUGGGGUUUUUUUCCUCCCUAGAAAGAUGGUCUCCUUCUCUUGCUGUGUGGGAACUUGCACGUGGCUCACCCUGGUUAUGGACCCCAAUUGCAAUUCUAUGCUGAUCCCAAAUUAGCUCCUUUUUGCUGAAGAAAUAUCUGGCAUUUGUUUCAGGUCAGCAAUCCAAAAGAGUUACUGUUCAGGAUCUCAAAGAGAUAUUAGCAGAUUCAUUACAUCACAACAGUCAAAGGAGACGCAAAUUCGAUCCCUGGGUGGGAAAGAUCCUUUGAAAAGAAAACGGCAACCCACUGCAGUAUUAUUGCCUGGGAAAUCCUAUGGACAGAGGAGCCUGGCGGGCUACAUCCAUGAGAUCGCAAAAGAGGUG
ensembl:lncRNA